ensembl:lncRNA
CAAGGAGAAAUGCUUGCGCGUGUGGCACAAGCUGCACGUUGUGAAGGACAAAUGGAGGAGACAUAAUAUAGCUGAGUGCUGAGUUAAUCAUCUUAAAGUCCAAAUGUUAUUUUUCAGCCCUCACUCCCCCACCCUGUGAGCUGCUUUCUUUUAUCAGAUUUUUAAAAUCAACGUCAUGCAAAAAAAAAAUUCCAUUCAUAUUAAUCCAAAAAUGUUUCUUCAUUUGACCCACAGCCCUAUCCAUGUGACCACUUUCCAUCAGAAGAUAGCUGUUUGAAUUGUCAGCUCAAAAGCGCCCACUGCCCAGCAAGGCCAAAUGCCAACACACAAAACAACCCUUCAAACCAGUGAAGUUUAUCUCUAUGCCAAACACAGCUUUGAAAUACAAGUUUAGAUAGAAUGUGAACCGCUGAUGAAGAACUGCUUCAAGGGACUCAGCCCUGUAAAGGGCCAGAGGGGUAAACAUGGUCUUCCAUGUGAAUGAACUGCAGUGGCUGCAUAUUGAUGAGACACAUUCAAGUCUUACCUUCGGUGGUGCAGUCAAAAGUAGACUCUUUCCUUGCUCGGGUAUGAAAGCCUAUCUCUAAACAGUUUUACCAGCUCUGUGGUGCUAGACAAUUGGACAAGUGAAAGAGAGGAUGGUAAUGACUGGACAGUAAGAACAACCCAGUGAGCACAGUUGGAAGUUGGAAAUAUCUCCAGCCUUUGUCCUUCAUUCGUGACCCCCUCAGCCUGGAAACCUUGGCAUAUUGCUAAAGCUCCUCUUAGAGAAAAUAGCUCCAGUGAAUGGAGUUCACACUCCUUUGCCUGUGAUCUAAGGUUCUCUCCCACCUCCUAUCUGCCCACAGCUUCAGCUCUUCCAUCGGGAGAACUUCCCCAGGGGCCUUCACCGUAGGAACUCUCUGCCUACAACUUGCCACUCCCUGGAUGUGUCCCAGGAUCUUUUGUACACAUUCUAUGAGCUCAUCUCCCAGGUAAGUAGUCCUCACCUUGCCCGCCACUGACUAAAUCCCAUUCAUCCUUAAAACCCUGUGAAAUUCAAGUCUACUGUGAGAAGUUCUUCUUUUAAAUUCUUUAGCAUUUACUGUUUCUACCACUUACCUGGCCUUAGCAUGUUCUGCUUUCUGUUGUUGCUUGACUGGUAAGCUACAGAAGAGGGUCUGGAUCUUGGCCUUUUUUUGUGAGUCUCCCCUCAACACACACACACGUGCAUGCACGCGCCCCACAUAGCACAAGGCUGAGAACACUGAGAAUGCUCAAUAAAGAAACAUUUUUUUGGCCUGAAUGAAUGGCCUGAAGGACUGUUCCUUUCAACAAUUAUGGCCCAAUAAAUUAUACUGGCAUUGCCUCCUAGAGAGAAAGGCCACACUAAGGCUCCACAGAUGGGGAAACUGCUCUGUCUGCCAAAACCCAGAUUCAGGGCAGCCUUGGCCCUGUUUGGCUGUCUACCUGAAUCUGGGUUUAACAACUUGGACUACAGUUUUACAGCCUAAGUCACCAGGCUAGCACAGCAGCAUGAGUUCUUUGUCCACAUGCUGGUGCCAGGUGUUAAAGGGAACUGGCUCACUCUGCUUAAGGAGACCUGCAGCUGGGGGAGGGGCUGCCUGUGCUGCAAGCUGUCAAGCCAGGGGGCUUUCUGCAAAAGGAGCCUUCAUCUGGAUCCUAAACAGGAAAAAAGAAAUGAGGAAAGUUUAU